UUCGGUCCUGAGUAAAGUGGCGCACGGGUGAGUAACGCGUGGAUAAUCUACCCAAUGAUCUGGGAUAACAUCUCGAAAGGGGUGCUAAUACCGGAUAAGACCACGGAGUCUUCGGAUUCUGCGGUAAAAGGUGGGGACCUUCGGGCCUACCGUCAUCGGAUGAGUCCGCGUACCAUUAGCUAGUUGGUGGGGUAAUGGCCUACCAAGGCUACGAUGGUUGGCUGGUCUGAGAGGAUGAUCAGCCACACUGGAACUGAGACACGGUCCAGACUCCUACGGGAGGCAGCCAGUGGGGAAUUUUGCGCAAUGGGGGAAACCCUGACGCAGCAACGCCGCGUGAGUGAUGAAGGCUUUCGGGUCGUAAAGCUCUGUCAGAGGGGAAGAAAUGUAUAGGUGCUAAUACCGCUUAUACUUGACGGUACCCUCAAAGGAAGCAC
rnacentral:rRNA from 1 species